CACGUAGUUAGCCGGUGCUUAUUCUUCAGGUACCGUCAUUAGCGAAGGAUAUUAGCCCCCACCGUUUCUUCCCUGACAAAAGAGCUUUACAACCCGAAGGCCUUCUUCACUCACGCGGCAUUGCUGGAUCAGGCUUGCGCCCAUUGUCCAAAAUUCCCCACUGCUGCCUCCCGUAGGAGUCUGGACCGUGUCUCAGUUCCAGUGUGGCUGGUCGUCCUCUCAGACCAGCUACUGAUCGUCGCCUUGGUGAGCCUUUACCUCACCAACUAGCUAAUCAGAUAUCGGCCGCUCCAGGAGCACAAGGUCCGAAGAUCCCCUGCUUUCAUCCUUAGAUCGUAUGCGGUAUUAGCGUAACUUUCGCUACGUUAUCCCCCACUCUUGGGUACGUUCCGAUAUAUUACUCACCCGUUCGCCACUCGUCAGCGGAGCAAGCUCCCUGUUACCGUUCGACUUGCAUGUGUAAAGCAUGCCGCCAGCGUUCAAUCUGAGCCAGGAUA
rnacentral:rRNA from 1 species